GCUGGGUUAGCUCAGUCAGUAGAGCAUGAGGCUCUUAAUCUCAGAGUUGUGGGUUCGAGCCCCAUAUUGGGCA
rnacentral:tRNA from 1 species